rnacentral:rRNA from 1 species
GGAUUUAUCAGUUGGUCGGGCUUCACUGUCCGUAUUGACUCGAUGGAUUCUUACCUUCUGAAUAAUCAGCAUGCUAUUAAGUUAGUGCGUUGGAAAAUUAGUGCUUAAAGCGAGCUAGUGCUUGAAUAGAUUAGCAUGGAAUAAUAAAAUAGGACGGCAUGGUUCUAUUUUGUUGGUUUCUAGGAUCACCAUA